ACUUAAGAAGCUUAACAUUGUGAGCAUUACAUUGAAGCUGUAAGGGAGGCAGGUGUGCCCUUAAGUA
rnacentral:tRNA from 1 species